UAAAAAGAAUCUAAAUUUUAGAAAUUAAUUUCGGCUUAAUAUUAGGUAAUUAAAUUUUUACCCUUUUUAA
rnacentral:tRNA from 1 species